rnacentral:rRNA from 1 species
UGGGGAAUUUUGGACAAUGGGCGAAAGCCUGAUCCAGCAAUGCCGCGUGCAGGAAGAAGGCCUUCGGGUUGUAAACUGCUUUUGUACGGAACGAAAAGGCUCUUUCUAAUAAAGAGGGCUCAUGACGGUACCGUAAGAAUAAGCACCGGCUAACUACGUGCCAGCAGCCGCGGUAAUACGUAGGGUGCGAGCGUUAAUCGGAAUUACUGGGCGUAAAGCGUGCGCAGGCGGUUCUAUAAGACAGAUGUGAAAUCCCCGGGCUCAACCUGGGAAUGGCAUUUGUGACUGUAGAGCUAGAGUACGGUAGAGGGGGAUGGAAUUCCGCGUGUAGCAGUGAAAUGCGUAGAUAUGCGGAGGAACACCGAUGGCGAAGGCAAUCCCCUGGACCUGUACUGACGCUCAUGCACGAAAGCGUGGGGAGCAAACAGGAUUAGAUACCCCCGUAGUCCCUGAGCGGGCUGGCAAGGCGCAU